UUUCAGGAACUGCCACUUCAAAAGCCAGAGAAUUUCCCCAUCGUUUGUUUUGCUUUCGGAAGGUGGGAAAACACUCUGGAUGCAGGGUAAGGGGCCAGGCAGUUAGGGGAAAACGCAUUCUCCAAAACAUAUAUCCGAACGUGCUGCCCAUUCACGUAUCCACUGGUCAGUAGGGAAGUACGGACGUGGCCUCGAUUCUGCGGUGAUGGCUGAAAGGUAAAAGCAUUGGUAGUCCAGAUUCGAGGAAUGACACCACACUGAGGCUAAUCCUGUGGUCAGUCUUAAUUAUUUACCCCAUACACAGUCCUUUAUGUUUCUUUUCUUUCACACACACAUUAACACUCACUCAAUGUCAAGCUCAAAUGUGUGUGUGUGUGUGUGUG